GGGGGUAUAGCUCAGUUGGUAGAGCGCUGCCUUUGCACGGCAGAUGUCAGCGGUUCGAGUCCGCUUAUCUCCACAAUUCUAAUCUCUAGUCCUAAGUAAUAAGGCUAAAUUUUGAAAACUGUAUAGCGGAAAGCAUAGA
rnacentral:tRNA from 1 species